rnacentral:rRNA from 1 species
UGGCGAACGGGUGAGUAACACGUGAGUAACCUGCCCUUAACUCUGGGAUAAGCCUGGGAAACUGGGUCUAAUACCGGAUAGGAGCGCCUACCGCAUGGUGGGUGUUGGAAAGAUUUAUCGGUUUUGGAUGGACUCGCGGCCUAUCAGCUUGUUGGUGAGGUAAUGGCUCACCAAGGCGACGACGGGUAGCCGGCCUGAGAGGGUGACCGGCCACACUGGGACUGAGACACGGCCCAGACUCCUACGGGAGGCAGCAGUGGGGAAUAUUGCACAAUGGGCGCAAGCCUGAUGCAGCGACGCCGCGUGAGGGAUGACGGCCUUCGGGUUGUAAACCUCUUUCAGUAGGGAAGAAGCGAAAGUGACGGUACCUGCAGAAGAAGCACCGGCUAACUACGUGCCAGCAG